GUGGGGAAUCUUCCACAAUGGACGAAAGUCUGAUGGAGCAACGCCGCGUGAGUGAAGAAGGGUUUCGGCUCGUAAAGCUCUGUUGUCGGGGACGAAUGUGCAGUAUUUGAAUAAAGUACUGUAAUGACGGUACCUGACGAGGAAGCCACGGCUAACUACGUGCCAGCAGCCGCGGUAAUACGUAGGUGGCAAGCGUUGUCCGGAAUUAUUGGGCGUAAAGGGAGCGCAGGCGGGAAGGUAAGUCGGUCUUAAAAGUGCGGGGCUCAACCACGUGAUGGGAUCGAAACUAUCUUUCUUGAGUGCAGGAGAGGAAAGUGGAAUUCCUAGUGUAGCGGUGAAAUGCGUAGAUAUUAGGAAGAACACCAGUGGCGAAGGCGACUUUCUGGACGAAAACUGACGCUGAGGCGCGAAAGCCAGGGGAGCGAACGGGAUUAGAAACCCUUGUAGUCC
rnacentral:rRNA from 1 species